CGCGGCGCGGCGGCCCUGAUGGACGCGCUGGCGGUCCUGAUGCAGGCUUCCUGACCCAGAACGAUGUCCUGCGCAGGGAGAACACCAGCUCAUGGGCCAGCUCUGGGCAAAGUCAGAUAUAAUAUUGAGAGGACACUCAAGCAGCCCUAAGAAGAGGUCCGUGUGAUGAAGAACUGAGGCCUCCAACAGCCAACAUAAACUUGCCAUGUGAGGAAGCCAUCUUGGAACCAGAUCCUUGAGCCCCAGUCAAGCCUUCAGAUGACUGUAGCCCAGCCAACAUCUUGACUAAAACCUCACAAAAGACUCUAAGCCAAAAGCAGCUACUUAAGCUGCUCCUGAAUUUCUGACCCACAGAAACUGUAGAAUCAUACAUGUUUAGUUUUGUUUUAAGCCACAAAGUUUUGGGGAAAUUGUUAUGCAGCAAUAGAUAACUACACAUACAUUAUGAUACAUUAUGGAAGGAGAAAAGUUGCAUUGAUGGAGUAAGAUGAGAAGGUGUUUGUCAGUCCCAGAAUGUGACCUCUGGGCUCUGAGUUAAUGCUAAGUUACUGUAUGUGACAGGGGAAGAGGGAGCGCUCUUUAGAGUUAAGCACUGUGAGCAGAUUCAAAUAUCUGCUUGAAUAGGGUUCAAGGUGUGACUCAACUCCCUUCCUUCCAG
rnacentral:lncRNA from 1 species